UACCAGCACCCCGAGUGGUCGGGACGAUUAUUGGGCCUAAAGCAUCCGUAGCCGGUCAUGCAAGUCUUCCGUUAAAUCCAGCCGCUCAACGGUUGGGCUGCGGAGGAUACUACGUGGCUAGGAGGCGGGAGAGGCAAGCGGUACUCAGUGGGUAGGGGUAAAAUCCUUUGAUCCAUUGAAGACCACCAGUGGCGAAGGCGGCUUGCCAGAACGCGCUCGACGGUGGGGGAUGAAAGCUGGGGGAGCAAACCGG
rnacentral:rRNA from 1 species